AUUGAACGCUGGCGGCAGGCCUAACACAUGCAAGUCGAGCGAGCGGCGGACGGGUGAGUAAUGUAUGGGGACUGCCCGUUAGAGGGGGAUCACUACUGGAAACGGUGGCUAAUACCGCAUACUAUCGGAUAACCCAUAUGGGAUUAGCUAGUAGGUGGGGUAAAGGCUCACCUAGGCGACGAUCGCUAGCUGGUCUGAGAGGAUGAGCAGCAACACUGGGACUGAGACACGGCCCAGACGCUUACGGAGGCAGCAGUGGGGAAUAUCGCACAAUGGGCAAAAGCCUGAUGCAGCAAUGCCGCGUGUAUGAAGAAGGCCCUAGGGUUGAAAAGUACUUUCAGUCGGGAGGCGUUACCGACAGAAGAAGCACCGGCUAACUCCGUGCCAGCCGCCGCGGUAAUUC
rnacentral:rRNA from 1 species